CCAUUUCACUCAGUAAUAUGCCCUCUGGAUAGUUCCAAUUAAAGAAGUUUCUGGAAAAACCUGAAGAAUGCUCAGGACAAAAAUUGUAGAUUAAGCAUUCAAAGGCCUUUCUACUAGACCACAGAGAAACAUUAUGGGCAUCCAUUUAAUAGAAGAGCCAUGUGAAAAGACAUGACCAGAAGAUUCUUCAGUGUGUGAGCAUGCACUUGUAAUAAUAGUGGUCUUAAUCCAAAAACUGCUUAUGUGUUCCUAUAGCACAUACCAGUUUGCUUGCAGGAAGAGUUUGCAAGAAUAAACAAAGUUCCAGAUGCUAGCAUGAUGCCAACCAGACUUC